rnacentral:rRNA from 1 species
GAUGAACGCUGGCGGCGUGCCUAAUACAUGCAAGUCGAGCGAACGGACGAGAAGCUUGCUUCUCUGAUGUUAGCGGCGGACGGGUGAGUAACACGUGGAUAACCUACCUAUAAGACUGGGAUAACUUCGGGAAACCGGAGCUAAUACCGGAUAAUAUUUUGAACCGCAUGGUUCAAAAGUGAAAGACGGUCUUGCUGUCACUUAUAGAUGGAUCCGCGCUGCAUUAGCUAGUUGGUAAGGUAACGGCUUACCAAGGCAACGAGGCAUAGCCGACCUGAGAGGGUGAUCGGCCACACUGGAACGUAGACACGGUCCAGACUCCUACGGGAGGCAGCAGUAGGGAAUCUUCCGCAAUGGGCGAAAGCCUGACGGAGCAACGCCGCGUGAGUGAUGAAGGUCUUCGGAUCGUAAAACUCUGUUAUUAGGGAAGAACAUAUGUGUAAGUAACUGUGCACAUCGUGACGGUACCUAAUCAGAAAGCCACGGCUAACUACGUG